rnacentral:rRNA from 1 species
CAGCCGCCACGGUAAAACGGAGGGUGCAAGCGUUAAUCGGAAUUACUGGGCGUAAAGCGCACGCAGGCGGUUUGUUAAGUCAGAUGUGAAAUCCCCGGGCUCAACCUGGGAACUGCAUUUGAAACUGGCAAGCUAGAGUCUCGUAGAGGGGGGUAGAAUUCCAGGUGUAGCGGUGAAAUGCGUAGAGAUCUGGAGGAAUACCGGUGGCGAAGGCGGCCCCCUGGACAAAGACUGACGCUCAGGUGCGAAAGCGUGGGGAGCAAACAGGAUUAGAUACCCCUGUAGUCCCUGUCUCUUAUAC